rnacentral:lncRNA from 1 species
GAUUUAUUGCAAGGGGCUAGUGAGGGGAGUGCUGGCACAUGUGUGGGUAUUUCUUAAACCAGAGAGGGUGCACUUUCUCCCUGCUGAUGCUGCAGCAGAAGAAACAGCUCAAUGACCUUUCUGGAGCGCCUCUCUCAGGCCUCUGUGCUGUAGCUGUUCUCUGGAGAACACCUGAUAGCGCCUUCAUUCCCUCCACUCUUGAGGUACGGUUUCUCAGCUGAUUUAUACCCCUCUUUCUGUCCUUUAAAGUUAGUGCCUUUGUAUAUGUUUCUCCAGACUGAUUCUUAGGAGAAGGUGAACUUUUAAGGUGUCCAAACCAGG